UACGAGGGGGGCGAGCGUUGUUCGGAAUUAUUGGGCGUAAAGGGUGCGUAGGCGGUUUGGUAAGUCUCGUGUGAAAUCUACAGGCUCAACUUGUAGUCUGCACGAGAAACUGCCGGGCUUGAGUGUGGGAGAGGUGAGUGGAAUUCCUGGUGUAGCGGCGAAAUGCGUAGAUAUCAGGAGGAACACCUGUGGCGAAAGCGGCUCACUGGACCAUAACUGACGCUGAUGCACGAAAGCUAGGGGAGCAAACAGG
rnacentral:rRNA from 1 species